AGUCUUGGUUUGUCCUUGCUAACAUUACUGAGUGUUUACCAAUUGUUUUCUCUACAUGUGUUUGACCCUUGGACUGUUUAUUCUGUUUAUUGGUCCUUCGCUGCCUGCCCUGACUGUUUUGCCUGUUUUGCCUGUUUAUUGACUGCUAUUUUGUGGCAGCACUAGACGGAUGCCCCCUGGGAGUCGGACACAUUCAUUAUGCCGAUCAGAACAUCUCCUCUCAAGUCAGAACGCUGCACACUGAGUUGAGCAGCCUGUAUGUAAUACAAUCUCCUCACCACCCACUCAUCCUAGGACUGCCCUGGCUACAGAAACAUGACUCCCAGGUCUUGUGGAGGGAGAAACAUAUCAUCAGAUGGAACAAGGCCUGCAUCACCUCCUGCUCACACUGUCUGAGUAGAGCCACCUGUACUCCCCAGUCUGCCUCCUGAGUACUCAGGCCUAGCUGACGGCUUCAGCAAAACCAAAGCUGCACAACUUCAUCAUCACCCAAGCAACUGGAGGAACUCUCCAAGGGCUUUAUCAGACCUUCAGCCUCACCAGCAUCAGCCAGGUUCUUCUUUGUGAUCAAGAAAGAUGGAGGACUCUACCCAUGUGUCAAUUAUAACAGUCUGAAUGAAAUCAAAGUCAAGUUCUGGUUCCCUCUACCUUUGGUUCCAGCAGCCCUCGAACAUCUCUGCAGAGCCAGGUAUUACACAAAACUUUCAUAAGGGUGAUGAGUGGAAGAUGGCUUUCUCUACCAGCAUGGGGCACUACAAAUACCUCAUCAUGCCAUUUGGGCUGGUCAAUAGUCCAUCCAUGUUCCAGGCCUUCAUCAAUGACAUCUUCCCAGACAUGCUUAGUGGCUAGGUCAUUGUAUACAUUGAUGACAAUCUCAUCUAUUCAGAACCCUAUGAGGAACAUGUCAAGCACUUUUGAGCCAUCCUACAGCACCUCAUUGCUCAUCAGCUGUAUGCCCAAAUUGAGAAGUGCGAAUUCCAUCAAAUGUCGAUAUCCUUUCCAGGCUAUGUAUUCAGUACUGAAGGCAUGGUGAUGGAGCAGAACAAGAUAAGGGCAGUGUUAACAUGGCUACAACCCACCAUGAUCAAAGAACUGAAAUGUUUUCUAGGCUUUUCUGACUUUUAUAGACGUUUUAUCAGAGGUUCAGUACUGUCACUGCACAGCUUACCUCAAUGAUAAAGAAGGGGGGCUCUUGACUCUCCUGACCCCAGCAGCCAUCAAGUCCUUUCAUGCCCUCAAGGCCCGUUUCUCCUCUGCACCCAUUCUUCAGCAUCCCUGCCCGGAUCUCCCAUUCACUGUUGAGGUGGAUGCUUCCAACACUGGCAUCAGAGCUGUUCUCUACCAAAGCCGUGGGGCUUCCCCCUUCUCGUGUGUACUUCUCCCACGAGCUCAGUGCCGCUGAACAGAACUAUGACAUCAGAGACUGGGAACUAUUGGCCAUGAAGGCAGCAUUCGAAGAGUGCUUCACAUCCCUUCCUUCUGCUAACAGAUCACCAGAACUUAGAGUACCUGCACACCCCAGACAGGCUAGAUGGCUGCUCUUCAAGCGUUUUGACUUCACAAUUACCUACUGCCCUGGUUUAAAGAAAGUCAAGGCCAAUGCUCUGUCCCGCCAACAUGAACUCCCAAAACAGUGUCAGACCAAAGAGCCCAUUAUACCACCCACUAUUAUCAUUGCCACAGUACAAUGUGACAUAAUGAGUGAAAUAGCCAACACUCAGACUCAUGACCCACUGCCCCCUGACAAGACCCAUGUUCCUCUCUUGCUCCAUAAGAAGGUCAUCCACUGGGUCUACUGCUCCCUCAGCUCUGGUCAUCCUGGAAUUGCAGCUACCUGCCAGUUAGUAGGCACCUGGUUUUGGUGGUCCACUCUGCAGACUGAUAUCAUUAACUACAUUCAGAACUGUCCUCUUGCAACAUCAGUAAGUCAACUAGAUGACUCCCCGCUGGGCUACGACAACUGCUAACCACACCUCAAUGCCCAUGGUCCCACAACACCAUAGAUUUCAUGACAGACCUUCCAGUUCCUCAGGGUCACACUGCCAUACUCACCGUUAUCGACUGCUUUUCCAAAGACUGCUUUCGAAUUCCACUGCCAAAACUACUCACUGCUUUCAAAACUGUGGAACACCUAUGUAACUACAUAUUGAGACUCUACAGCCUACCAGAAGAUAUUGUCUCCGAACGAGGGCCGCAGUUCACCUCUUAUGUUUGGGCUGCCUUCUUCAAGCAACUCAACAUAAAUGUCAGCCUUACCUCGUAUAUCACUCACAAGCCAAUGGUCAAACAGGAUGCCUAAAUCAAGAAGCCACCCACUUUCUCAGGGCCUGCUGUAACCAGAACCAGUCUGACUGGAGCUGCUGCCUGUUCUGGGCAGAAAAUGCCCAGAAUUCCCUCUGCAAUCCUGCAACAGGCCUGACCCCUUUCCAGUGUGUGGCUUCCAACCUCCCCUAUUCCCCUAGUCAGGGGAGCCCAGUUUUCCUUCAGGAUAGCAGCAGUCAGGAGAUUCAGAGCAUUUGGCAUCGUUGUGACAAAUGCUGAUUCUCACAGCUUGA
ensembl:lncRNA